rnacentral:rRNA from 1 species
GACGAACGCUGGCGGCGUGCUUAACACAUGCAAGUCGAACGCUGAAGCACCAGCUUGCUGGUGUGGAUGAGUGGCGAACGGGUGAGUAAUACGUGAGUAACCUGCCCUCGACUCUGGGAUAAGCCCGGGAAACUGGGUCUAAUACUGGAUGCUACAUGUCACCGCAUGGUGGUGUGUGGAAAGGGUUUACUGGUCUUGGAUGGGCUCACGGCCUAUCAGCUUGUUGGUGAGGUAAUGGCUCACCAAGGCGACGACGGGUAGCCGGCCUGAGAGGGUGACCGGCCACACUGGGACUGAGACACGGCCCAGACUCCUACGGGAGGCAGCAGUGGGGAAUAUUGCACAAUGGGCGAAAGCCUGAUGCAGCGACGCCGCGUGAGGGAUGACGGCCUUCGGGUUGUAAACCUCUUUCAGCAGGGAAGAAGCCACAAGUGACGGUACCUGCAGAAGAAGCGCCGGCUAACUACGUG